GUAGGAUUUACAUAAAACGGUGCGCACAAGCACACGCACUCCCACCGGAUUACCCCUGUCCAUUGCCACUGGCACUGGGGGUUCAAGUAUCCCGUCUCCGCCCUCCUCUGGAACCAAAACUUGUUCUGGAACUCUCACCGAAACAGUAGUGUACUCUGUGGUCUCUCUCCACUGUUUGAUUAUUUUCUCAGGUCGCAGAUACUCUUUUUUGGUGUUUCUCUGUUGUCACGGUCGAGUAAACGAUGAUGGCUCGAGCUCUACUUGGUAUGCCUGGACCAUGGGCCGAUGAUAAUCGUGAGCCAUCUGACCAUUACACUACAAAAAUUGGCGGACUUCCUGACUUGCCUUUUCCUCUAGAGGCAGUGCCUCACAAUUUGCUCAAUUGUGGUGCCUGUGGAAAAAAGCUCUGUCUUGUUGCACAGGUUUAUGCUCCAGUCUCUAGUGGAAGGUUGAAAAUUGGAGAUCGUCUUGUUAUGGUCUUUGGUUGUGUGACGGCAGAAUGUGGGAGUACUUCUCUUAGCUGGCGUGCACUUCGCCUGCAGAAACUGGAUGAUGGGAGAUUCCCAUGUACAAAUUCUGAUGAUGUGGUUCCUGUUACUCCUCCUCCUGAUUCAGUUCCAAAAACCAACUGGCUGGAGGAUUUGGGUGAUGAAAGUGAUGAGGAUAUCGAUCUUGAGGCUUUGGGUAAAGCACUUUCUGAAGCUGGAAGUUUGGCUUCUCAUUCCAAGAAACUACAUAAGAACGAGCUAUCUGAGAGUGUUGUCAAUGCUUCCCCUUCAGUUCCCAGGAUGAGAAUUGUGGACAUGGAGUUACCAGUGGUUCCUUGUUUUUACGUUUAUACUCAGGAAGAAUCAUUCUCAAAGGAUGUUUCUUCUAUGUGCUCGAACUAUUAUUCCACCCUUUCCAUUAAGGAGAAACAAAGUAAUAAUGAUCAAGAACAACAAGAAGCUUGGGGAGAUGAAAGUUAUGAAUACGAUAAAGCUUUAAAUGUCGACAGGGCAUACCUCAAGUUCAAGAAAAAGUUGGAUGCUGACCCGGAGCAAUGCUUCAGGUACUUGUAUGGCGGGAAGCCUCUUCUUGCAACACCAGAUGUGGGAGACCCUGGGUCAUGCAAGCUUUGUGGUGCUUCGAGGCAUUAUGAGAUGCAGCUGAUGCCCCCAUUAAUAUAUUUUCUACAAGAUGCUGCUGAUGAUUGUCAAAAAACUGCAUUAGAGAAUUGGGACUGGAUGACACUCGUUGUUUUCACUUGCUCCAAGAGCUGUUCCAACCCAUCUGCUGAAGAAAAAUCCAAAACUGGUUGCUGGAUUGUGGCAGAGGAGGCUGUUGUUGUCCAAUUUGAGAAACCACUGGACGAGUCGGUUCAGCUUGGUUUUUUCUCAUGAUCUGGAACAUUUCUUCCCAGAAUGAAAUCAGAGAUGUAUUUCAAGAACAUUCAUGACCAUUGAUUAUUUGAUUUGUGCUUGUUGGAAAGCUCUCUCAGUAGAUCUAUCUUGUUGGGUUGCUAGUUCUUCUUUUAUCCUUGCAUCCAGGGACUUUUCACCGGUUUUGAGUUGAAGAUUUCAACAUCUACUUAUUCUGAUGAUCAAAUCUCCAAGCGCUCCUUCGAGUCUCUCUCUGAGAGUUGUAAAGAGUUCCUUUAGAAUCUUUUAAUGGGUAUCUUUAAGACCUUUAUCUACUGCAUUUGAAGGUUUUUCUUUUUUUCUCUGCAUUUUGUAACCGACUCAUGACAUACCCCAUCAAAACCCUCUAUUUUAAUUUCUUCGUGUUGUUUCAUGCUUGCUAAUGGAGUUUAUGGGAGGUUGGCUUUAGAUAUGUUCUUCCUCCUUUCUUAGCGUGGAGUUUUGUGUGCCCUCUGAUCUGGUUCUUUUUAUUGUAAAGCUUUUUUAAGCUCGAUUCGGUGGCCACUUGGAAAAAGCAAGAAAUCUGAGAAAGGUCUUAUAUCUCUAUCUUUAGUUCAAAAAAAAAAAAAAAAACACUUAAAA